rnacentral:rRNA from 1 species
AUUGAACGCUGGCGGCAGGCCUAACACAUGCAAGUCGAACGAACUCUUCGGAGUUAGUGGCGGACGGGUGAGUAACACGUGGGAACGUGCCUUUAGGUUCGGAAUAACUCAGGGAAACUUGUGCUAAUACCGAAUGUGCCCUGCGGGGGAAAGAUUUAUCGCCUUUAGAGCGGCCCGCUUCUGAUUAGCUAGUUGGUGAGGUAGCGGCUCACCAAGGCGACGAUCAGUAGCUGGUCUGCGAGGAUGGCCAGCCACACUGGGACUGAGACACGGCCCAGACGCCUACGGGAGGCAGCAGUGGGGAAUCUUGCGCAAUGGGCGAAAGCCUGACGCAGCCAUGCCGCGUGAAUGAUGAAGGUCUUAGGAUUGUAAAAUUCUUUCACCGGGGACGAUAAUGACGGUACCCGGAGAAGAAGCCCCGGCUAACUUCGUGCCAGCCGCCGCGGUAA